rnacentral:rRNA from 1 species
GACGAACGCUGGCGGCGUGCCUAAUACAUGCAAGUAGAACGCUGAAGGAGGAGCUUGCUUCUCUGGAUGAGUUGCGAACGGGUGAGUAACGCGUAGGUAACCUGCCUGGUAGCGGGGGAUAACUAUUGGAAACGAUAGCUAAUACCGCAUAAGAGUAGAUGUUGCAUGACAUUUGCUUAAAAGUUUCAAUUGCAUCACUACCAGAUGGACCUGCGUUGGAUUAGCUAGUUGUUGGGGUAACGGCUCACCAAGGCGACGAUACAUAGCCGACCUGAGAGGGUGAUCGGCCACACUGGGACUGAGACACGGCCCAGACUCCUACGGGAGGCAGCAGUAGGGAAUCUUCGGCAAUGGACGGAAGUCUGACCGCGCAACGCCGAGUGAGUGAAGAAGGUUUUCGGAUCGUAAAGCUCUGUUGUAAGAGAAGAACGAGUGUGAGAGUGGAAAGUUCACACUGUGACGGUAUCUUACCAGAAAGGGACGGCUAACUACGUG